GGGCCUGUCGGGUCUCGACAGGAGGAUGGUCUGUUCUCGGCGCGCCGAGUGCGCACGGGGCACUCGUAAAACUCUCGCGUGCACGAAAGACAUGCGAACGUCUUCCAGCGGGUGAAGGCGGCAAUCGCUUCGGCGUUUGCUCCAACAUUCGCGCCCGCGAUCGCGUAAUUGCUGAUCGCCAUCGGCCUCCCGGUGCCUUGGGGGGAGAGUCCGGUGCCACUUACAAGGCUCGAGAUGACAUGAUUUCUGUGCGUGUCAUCUGACCUCGCAACAGGACGGUCACUAAGUUCUCGUCCGUUCCUCGUCUCUGGUGAUCGUCAACCUUUGAGCGGACUACGCGCGUAGAGCGGGAUCACGACUUCCCUUCUGGACGUGGGUUCAACUCCCACCAGGUCCACCA
rnacentral:tmRNA from 1 species